AUUGAACGCUGGCGGCAGGCCUAAAACAUGCAAGUCGAACGAGGGGCGGACGGGUGAGUAAUGUCUGGGAAACUGCCCGAUGGAGGGGGAUAACUACGGGAAAAGGUAGCUAAUACCGCAUACCAUCGGAUGUGCCCAGAUGGGAUUAGCUAGUAGGUGGGGUAACGGCUCACCUAGGCGACGAUCCCUAGCUGGUCUGAGAGGAUGACCAGCCACACUGGAACGGAGACACGGCCCAGACUCCUACGGGAGCCAGCAGUGGGGAAUAGUGCACAAUGGGCGCAAUCCUGAUGCAGCCAUGCCGCGUGUAUGAAGAAGGCCUUCGGGUUGUAAAGUACUUUCAUCGAGGAGGCGUUACUCGCAGAAGAAGCACCGGCGAACUCCGUGCCAGCAGCCGCGGUAAUUC
rnacentral:rRNA from 1 species